rnacentral:lncRNA from 10 species
CUGCUAUUGUGUAUGCUCUUUGAGGGCAGGGACUAAAUCUUGUUGUCCCUAGAUCAUGACUCAAUGCCUUGCCCAAAUAUAAAGUCAACAAAUAUUUGUGGAGUGGAAUUAAAGAGGUUCAUCUGCAUGCCACAGAUGCAUUUAUAUAGUGAAGACUAUGGGAUGAGGUAGGAGGCACACCUGGGAAAGGGAGGGAAGGAGGUGGAUAUGAUGCAGUACAUAACAGAUCCAAGAUCACCAGAAAGAAGAGUCAGCUACAUCCUUUACCCUUUUUCCUCCAAAGUUAAUUUAUGAACUGAUCUGAAGUCAGUAAUGAUACUUAACGACACGGAAGAUUAAAGGGAGAGAGCACAACGCUGCUGGAAGAAUGUCGGAUUAGGAUCCUGAAUGUCUGCUCAUCUGGCUUUAAGAAGGCCAUUUAACUUCCAGGCACCUUAGGCUCUUCACCUAUAAAAUAGAGAUAAAAUAUUGGUCCUCCCUCUCCCCUGGUUUGCUGUAAAGAUGCAUGAGGUCACUGUGAAAAUGAUCUGUAAGCUGUAAGGAUUCUCUUUAUGGCCUUUGGGCAUCAUUGGCACACCUAGGAGCUGGUUAGAAAUGCAGACUCUCAGGCCCCACCCUAGACCUACUGAAUCAGGAUAUACAUUUUAACAAUGUCUUCAGGCAAUUUGCAUGCACAUCAUUGGUUUCAGAAGUACUACUCUAAAGGACUAUAUAAUAAAAGUUGCAAUUGUUGUUAAUAAGGUCCACGUGUGUUGGCAAAACUGAACAUAAGCUCUCACCCCAAAGGACUCCGCGAUGGAGGGGCAGCAGGCAGAUGACAGAUGGAUGUAGCUGAAUCUAAGAAGAUGUGUACUUGUCCCAAAUGUGCAGGAUAAAUAAAUACAGAAGUCACCAACAGAAGACUCAGUCAAUGCUAGUGUCAGAGGCAUGUGAACCAGAGCAACUCCAUCUUAAUUAGUAGCUGGGUAAAAUGAGGCUGAGACCUACUGGUCUGCAUUCCCAGAUGGUUAAGGCAUUCCAAGUCACAGGAUAAGAUAGGAGGUCGGCACAAGAUACAGGUCAUAAAGACCCUGCUGAUAAAACAGUUUGCAGUAAAGAAGCUGGCUAAAUCCCACCAACACCAAGAUGGUGAUAAGAGUGACCUCUGGUCCUCCUCACUGCUACACUCCCAACAGCACCAUGAGAGUUUACAGAUGCCAUGGCAAUGUCAGGAAGUUACCCUAUAUGGUCUAAAAAGGGGAGGCAUGAAUAAUCCAUCCCUUGUUUAGCAUAUCAUCAAGAAAUAACCAUAAAAAUGGGUAACCAGCAGCUCUCAGGGCUGCUCUGUCUAUGGAGCAGCCAUUCUUUUAUUCCGCCACUUUCCUAAUAAACUUGCUUU